rfam:Lyngbya majuscula 3L genomic scaffold scf52047, whole genome shotgun sequence.
AGGAGCUGGGUGCGGUGAAAGUCGCACGCCCAGAUUUGAAGGAGAGGUGCCCUGGGUAAUACCAGGCAUCGACUCUAAC